GUCUUUUUGAAUAUAAUUUAAAGUCUAACCUGCCCAAUGAUGAAUUUUAAUGGCCGCAGUAUUUUGACUGUGCAAAGGUAGCAUAAUCAUUAGUUUCUUAAUUAGAAACUGGAAUGAAUGGUUGAACGAGAAAAUAACUGUCUCUUUAUAAUUUUUUUAGAAUUUUAUUUUUAAGUUAAAAAGCUUAAAUGAAUUUAAAAGACGAGAAGACCCUAUAGAGUUUAAUAUAAUUAAUAAUAAUAAUAAGAUUUGUUUAUUUAUUAAAUUAUUUUAAAUUAUAUUUUUUUGGGGUGAUGAAAAAAUUUAAAUAACUUUUUAUUAAUAAAAACAUUAAUUUAUGAAUUUUUGAUCCAUUAAUUAUGAUUAUAAGAUUAAAUUACCUUAGGGAUAACAGCGUUAUUUUUUUAUAGAGUUCAAAUCGAUAAAAAAGUUUGCGACCUCGAUGUUGGAUUAAAAUAUAAUUUUGGUGUAGAAGCUAAAAUUUUAGGUCUGUUCGACCUUUAAAAUUUUACA
rnacentral:rRNA from 1 species